UGCCACCAAUUCUUUCCCCAUAUAAUGAGGUCAAAAGGCUUCUUCUACAUAGGCAAUACUUUUAUAGAUUAGAACCACUAUUUGCUAAGGCCACUGACACUACACAUUAAUUGUACUAUUAUUCUCCAUUAACAACUACAGUUCCAUCCUUUGGAAUUCUGAAAUUGGCAAGUUUGGGUGGGUAUUCAAUAUUCUAAGCCAGUCAGCUCCAGUGCUUAACCAAACUACAAACUCCAGGAUUCAAGGAGAUGGAAACAUGGCAUUUAAAGUGGGAUAAGAGCACUAUAAUUGAGCAGUGUGGAUAAGCCUCUGAGUCCAGUGAAGUGUGAUGGUAGUUUCUUGACUUUGACAAGAAGAAGUUUCCUGUGUUCCAACAGUGGACAUAAUUUGCCAUCAAACAAGUCCAAUGAAUACUGUAGGACAACACACAGAAUAUACCACAUCUAUUGUAUACUGUAGAGUUGCACUACCACACACACAUACAUUUUAUUGCUAUUAUUGAUGUGUUGGGUAAGAUUGAUCUCCAGAUCUAGGGCAGGGAAUAAAUUCAUUUUAUUGCUUAUACUUUGCCAAUGUUGACUCCAAAACUGACCUUUGAAAACAUUAUCCUUUGUAAUGAUAGUGAACACUGAUUAUAUUUUCAGAUAUAGGACCAGAAGAUGUCCAGAUUAUGACACCUAUACUGCAUGCGGACACAAUAAUGGCAAAACUGGAAUCGUGGCAUUUAAAGUCUGGUGAGGUCCUUGGGAGAUACCAGCAGACCUUGAGCAGAGAGGAACUGAGGAUUAAAUCCGUCUAAUCUUUUGGAGACACCGUUUAGGGUAAGUAUAGAUCAGGGCAGUGGAUUAGAGCUCUAUGGCAGAAAUCUUAAUCCCUCACUAAUGGUGUAUCCAGU
rnacentral:lncRNA from 1 species